rnacentral:lncRNA from 1 species
UAUAAACUAAGUUAAGUCAUUUUAAAUCAUUUUAAAGUUAUUUCCCAAAAGAUUUUAAAUGUUAUUUUAUAGUUAUUUCCUAAAAGAUUUCCCAAAAGUAUAAAUUUAGUUAAAUUAAGUCAUUUUAUAGUUAUUUACCCAAAUCAAACCCCUAAAACCCCAAAUCAAUUUCCCCAAAUCAACUUUCCCCAAAUCAAACACCCAAAACCCCAAAUCGAUUUCCCCAAAUCGUUCACUCCUGUCCGCCGAACGAAGAACUUCUUUUCAGCGGUUUAUCCCGCUCGUUUCCCUAAUCAUCGGUCUCGGUUAAUCGCUAAUCUCGCCUUGGAAUCAAUACGUCAUCUUAAUCGCCGACAACGCUUCUCGGUCGUUCCUAG